rnacentral:rRNA from 1 species
GACGAACGCUGGCGGCGUGCCUAAUACAUGCAAGUUGAGCGCUGAAGGUUGGUACUUGUACCCACUGGAUGAGCAGCGAACGGGUGAGUAACGCGUGGGGAAUCUGCCUUUGAGCGGGGGACAACAUUUGGAAACGAAUGCUAAUACCGCAUAAAAACUUUAAACACAAGUUUUAAGUUUGAAAGAUGCAAUUGCAUCACUCAAAGAUGAUCCCGCGUUGUAUUAGCUAGUUGGUGAGGUAAAGGCUCACCAAGGCGAUGAUACAUAGCCGACCUGGGAGGGUGAUCGGCCACAUUGGGACUGAGACACGGCCCAAACUCCUACGGGAGGCAGCAGUAGGGAAUCUUCGGCAAUGGACGAAAGACUGACCGAGCAACGCCGCGUGAGUGAAGAAGGGUUUCGGAUCGUAAAACUCUGUUGGUAGAGAAGAACGUUGGUGAGAGUGGAAAGCUCAUCAAGUGACGGUAACUACCCAGAAAGGGACGGCUAACUACGUG